rnacentral:rRNA from 1 species
ACCGUUCUCAGUUCGGAUUGUAGGCUGCAACUCGCCUACAUGAAGCUGGAAUCGCUAGUAAUCGCGGAUCAGCAUGCCGCGGUGAAUACGUUCCCGGGCCUUGUACACACCGCCCGUCACACCACGAGAGUUUGUAACACCCGAAGUCGGUGGGGUAACC